CGGCACAGUGACGUUAGUUAACUUUCUAUUGGCCUACCUCUCACACCGCGCUGUCAAGGUGUUGCGAUGGUGUACCGACUCGUUUUGACAAAUGUGCAUAAAACCGUUCAGAUCACACAAUACUGACAACAAUACGUCAGGCUAUAUGUGGUAUAAAAGAUUACAGACACAACGGCGUAAAAUAGACUUUUGCCCACCUUCACUUUUACGUGUAUGAAUCAACAGGAGAAUGCAGCAGCCCUGGUCUCUCAUUUAUGUGGACUUUAAGGGGCGGCGUUGCUGUAAAUGAAGAGACAGCUCAGCCCACAUUGUUCAGUUCUCCACGCUAGAAACCGUCUGUGGCGCAUUAAAGAGAAGCAGACUUUUGCCUCCGUGCGGAAACUGACAGAGGAGCCAGUGGCGCACCGGAGCCCGAGCUCUGCCGCCUCCCUGCUCAGGGAGUGUGUCUGUGUGUGUGUGUCUCUGCGCUUUCAUGAUUAUGUGCAUGUCUUGAGCGCCAUCCGCAGUAUUCUCCAUGUGCACACCGGCAGAACAGUCUGUACAUCGUGUUCCUGUGGUGGUGAUGCCUGCAGCGGAUGCCCCCCCCCCCUUCAGCUCUGUGUGACGACUGUGUCGUCAUGUGACCGGUUCGGUCUCCGCAGAGUUUCCCGUCGAAGCUGUUGAAGCAGAGCUCUCUCAGCGCGCACAGACCGGCCGCGCCGCACACGUCGCAGAUGUCGCUGUGACCGCACUCUGCUACUCUGCUCCGCCGAUGUUGAACAGCGCCAUCAGCAGUCUCGUGAUGGAUAUCACAGCAAGCCUCUCUUCUCUGGGACCGUAAAGGAUAACAACCAGCCCGAGAGGAUCCUCGUAGCCCAGCCGUGCAUCGCACCGAGAGACGAAGCUGAACAAAAACAGCUGGAGUGCAGCUGUGAGCCUUCCGAUGGUUCCCGACAUAGUUUGCUGUAGUUUGGAAGUCUGAGCAGUUGUAGCGGGAGAGCAGAGUUAGAGCUGGACUGAAAGGGAACGAUCAGUUCAGUGUUCUUAUAGAGGGAAACUUCGGCUUCUUAUCCCGGGACAAUUCAACUUUCGGAGUUUAAAUGUGAAAUCCGAAAAUGUGAAAAUAUCGCAAGUCGCUAAGACAGCAGAAUAUGUUUUCUUGUUGACGGGUUGCCCGCUGGAGGGUCUCAGUAUCCAGUCUGUCGGUGUUCUCCGCUUCACAUACGCGCCGGAACGGCUGCUGUUUGAGCGGCAACGGAGGCAUUAAUACUUCAAACUGAGACUCCAACCGAGGCUUCUCCAACCGAGGCUUCUCCAACCAACAACCCCCGCCCCUGUGUCCGGUGUUCAGCCGGCGCUGUCUUGGGUAUGUCUGCCGAUAUGGAUCCUGCGAUCGAAGCUCAUCUACUGGCCUGGGGCUUUGGUGACCACAUCCCGGCGAUCCGGGAGAAAGCGUUUGAUAUGAAAAUUGGACCUGCUACAAAGUGGAGAGCACAUGCUGAGAAGUACUAAGCAAAUCAAGAUAUAAUACAGCUGCUGCUGACUUGUCUGCGUUCACGGGCACUUUAAGGACAACUGAACUCGUACUGCCGAAUCCGUUCGUGUAGAGAGCAGCGGUGCAGCCCGUCCUCUGAGGAAGAGUGGGAGUGUUCAUUCGCGCAGCCACAGCUUCGGGAAACCAGACAGAAGCAGACAGCACGGAGACUUGAAGCGCACGGUCAUCAAGCGGCUGCUUUCACACACUGUGUAUCUGUGAUGUCGACGUUUGGUGCCGAAUCUUGGUCUGAAGACACGGAGGUGGAGUGUGGAAGCGGGUGCGGUGACAUCGGCUCCACCAGACUCUGCGAGCUGCGCUCUGACUUCCGCGUACAUCUCCAAAGAUUCUCCGUGGAUGGACACCGCGGACACCGAAGAGAUGAUUACACCGCCUCGGGAGUCGGAGCGGAGCUCUUCGGCCGAAGAGACAGACUGAAAGACACAACACUUCGCCCGCCACCCAAAGUUUGUUGGACUUUGACACUUGAAGACCAAAGAAUAUGGGAAAGACAAUACAAAGUUAUUUUUUCCACAAAUAUCAAUAGUGUCAUUUGGAGGUCAAACAAUAUAACAACCUGCAUUAUAUUUUAUUUAUUUAUUUUAUUUUCAUUAUAUUGUUCAGUGGAGGUGCGAGAGACCAAACCUUCCACACAGACAGUGCCGAACGCACCAUCCAUAGUGUGUGCUGCAGGGCCGCACCAUUAUUAAGAUAGCAUCAGAGAUCAACACAGACAGUGCGGAACCCACCAUCCGCAGUGAUGUCCUGAAGAGACUGGUGCUGGAACAGCUGCGGCCCAUGGUCAGACCCCUCCUGGACCCACUUCAGUUCGCCUACCAGCCCCGGCUGGGAGUUGAGGACGCCAUCGUCUUCCUGCUGAACCGCAUCUACACUCA